GGGCCCGUAGCUCAGGUGGUGGAGCGCCGGCUUUGCAAGCCGGAGGUCGCGGGUUCGAGUCCCGCCGGGUCCACCA
rnacentral:tRNA from 1 species